rnacentral:rRNA from 1 species
AUUGAACGCUGGCGGCAGGCCUAACACAUGCAAGUCGAGCGGAUGAAGGGAGCUUGCUCCUGGAUUCAGCGGCGGACGGGUGAGUAAUGCCUAGGAAUCUGCCUGGUAGUGGGGGAUAACGUCCGGAAACGGGCGCUAAUACCGCAUACGUCCUGAGGGAGAAAGUGGGGGAUCUUCGAACCUCACGCUAUCAGAUGAGCCUAGGUCGGAUUAGCUAGUUGGUGGGGUAAAGGCCUACCAAGGCGACGAUCCGUAACUGGUCUGAGAGGAUGAUCAGUCACACUGGAACUGAGACACGGUCCAGACUCCUACGGGAGGCAGCAGUGGGGAAUAUUGGACAAUGGGCGAAAGCCUGAUCCAGCCAUGCCGCGUGUGUGAAGAAGGUCUUCGGAUUGUAAAGCACUUUAAGUUGGGAGGAAGGGCCGUAAGUUAAUACCUUGCUGUUUUGACGUUACCAACAGAAUAAGCACCGGCUAACUUCGUG